rnacentral:lncRNA from 1 species
CCGGAACCGGACUCUACGUUUGAAAGCGGUUCUGCACCGCGGCUGCACCGAUUCAAUCAGAACCCGGAGUGCAUUUCCUCAAUACCUGCCAUCAUAGAGGCUAUCAUGAAGAUAGGACUCCUGAUCAUUCUGUUAGUUUACCUCUCAGAAGUCCAGCCCAAGAAAAUCACUUAUAUUAAUGCAGAGGUGAACAAACCUGUUUAUCUCCCAUGUGAGCUUAAUUGCUCUGGUUUUGCUAAGUGGGUCCGCUAUACCUCCAUCCAUGAUAACGUUGCUGACGUUGCUGACUGCGACAAAAAGACAUGCUGGAUUAAGGACCCUCUUCGGAUAAGUUUCCCCUUUCAAGGAGACAGAACAACAGAGAACAAUUCGCUGCUUAUCAACCCCGUGAUCUACAAUGACCAAGGCAGAUACAGGUGCAGCUGUGGGGAAAAAAAAGCUGGCGUAAAACUAAAUGUCUUUGUUCCUAUGGUGGUGAAGACUCAUGAGCGGGAGAAGGUCUCUCUUCCGUGCUAUGGAGACACUCGCAGGGAUGCCCGGGACGUACAGUGGAAAAAAGACACACAACUGGUUCUCCUGUACAAUCACGAGAAUGGGGAUGUGACUCGAGGUAAAGGCUUUGAAGAUGGAUUCUUUGUGUCUCCUGAAGCUUUUCAAGAUGGGGAUCUCUCCCUCCACAUCAAUUCAGUUCGCCAGUCAGACGCAGGGCUGUAUGUGUGCAAAAUUCACGGUGAAUCAACCGAUGGAGAACCACGUGCUGUCCUGCUGAUCGUGGAAGAGUCAGGAGGGCUUGGAGGGCUUGGAGUGUUAUCCAUCCUUCUUGCUUUAAUCAGUGGAGCACUGGGUGCCUUUAUUAUAUGGCUUUGGAGGAAGAAGAUUAUUUCCUGGCAGGUCAUCAAAGGUCUUUACCGUAGAAAAGCACACAGAGAGCAUGAUCCUGUUCAGGAAGAAAAUCCACUUGCACAUCUGCCGAAGUCUACAACCACACCAUUUGUGCAAGGACCUGAGGAAUGAUAAAUAUGGUUUAAACUCCAGGCAAGCCUGAAGAUGGAAUAGAUUAAUAUAUAGACUACGGCUGGACCUGUAUUUAUGUAACUUAAGUUUUUAUUAUGUUCCACUAUGAUCAGGAGCGUGCAGCUUGCCAUCAGCUGCCAGAGCCAUGAGAGAGCACAAUUGGCCUUGCUCUCUCUGGGUGGGUAGAUGGCACUCUUACCUCUCAUCACAAAGUGUCUUAUGAGCUGAUGUAUCAGAACUGAACUGCUUUUCUCAAAGUAUGCAGUAAUGCUACUCAGCUUUUUAAUUACUGUAUAUAGGUGAUUUUAAAACUAAUCAAGGGUUAUGGAUUUGUCAAAUUUUAUAGGUGCAGUUUGGGGCCUUGCAUUAAUGUCUUUUAUUAGGUGAAGGGAUAAUGGGUUUUCAUGUUUCGCACUGUUUUGAGCGUAGCAACAUUGUUACUGUUUUACAUACUUUUAUAAUUUUAUAAAUAAUAAAAAAAUAUUAAACUCUAAACUUUUUCCA